rnacentral:lncRNA from 1 species
ACCUCAAAGCGAGCCAUGCGACUCUGUUCACCAUAUAACUCUUACAGGUGAACCAGCAUCUCCCUGGCAGUCCUUAUAUCUUCAUACUGUUGCUGAAGAUCAUUGGACAUGGACGCUAAGAUAUAGCACUCGUCUUGUUAUCUUCGUCCAUCCAUUUCUCAAGUGCAGCUCGUUGAUCAGUGGAUGGGCGAGCAGAUAACACAGGCACUUCCUGAUCGAGGAUAUGGGUAAGUUUUUCGGAAUUAAGAAC